AAGGCCGACAGAGGUCAAGAGGCAGUAAGGAUUACCGUCUUUGCCUCUACCGUCUACUUGUGGACCAGCCUCUUCCAAGCCAGGCCACUCCUGGAACCCAUGAACUUGUCUCCAGGGACCUCAGAGCUGGAAUGGGGAUGAGACCAAAAUGCACUGAACAGCGUUGGCUUAAGGCCUCAGUGAGAAUAAGAAGUCGGUGAGCGUGGCCAGGAGAAGAAAAGCCUGCCUUGUGGACACAGGCCGGGCAGAGCUGGGGGCAGAGGCCACGGCGUGAAGGCCCAGCACCAAGAAGGAUCAGUUCUCCUCCUGAGGCCAGGGCCUCAGAUACACCUGCCACGAGGGAUACCUGCUGGCGUAACUGCCUUCCUACAACCUUUGGACUCUCAGCCAUAAACAGACCAGCCCUUGGUUCCAGACCACCCAGCACUGCCUGGAUGCAGAGCAAAGUUCAAGAGAGGGGAGCAGGCCUCGGCUGAUUCGUCUGCAUCUCCUACCUGGAUUUUCAAGCUCUGGAUCUCUUCCUGUUUGUCUUCGAUGUCUUCAUCCGGGACGUGACACUUCUGCGACAUCACCCUCUCGUGCUGCCUGGUG